UCUUCUUGUACCUUCUCCUCCUAUGCCUCUCUGCUACUUCCUUUAAAAAAUAAUUGAUCCAAAUUCUCACGCUUACUGUAGCCAAAACAAGUUUUUUGUUUUGUUUUGUUUGUUGCAUUUGUUUGUUUUGUUUUUUAUUUUCUGUGUUAAAGCUGUUUACCACAUUGCUCUCUGAAGCAGGUUUUUGAGUUAACGGUAUCAGAACAUGGACAUCUUACUUGGUAUCAGAUCUCCUUCUUCCCAAUCAUAUCUGACCCAUCACCACGGUCUCUUGCUACUCACCACCUCUGACAGAACUUUGGGAUCAUUUUCAGUCUUCUUCUACUAUUCUGCAUGAAGUCAAAUAACUUUUUCCUUUGCCUCUUCUGCUUCAGGAACCUCUGGAGGAGAGAGCUCACACCUCUCUGUAGCUCACACCUCUCUGUAGCUCACACCUCUCUGCAGCUCACACCUCUCUGCAGCUCACACCUCUCUGCAGCUCACACCUCUCUGCAGCUCACACCUCUCUGUAGCUCACACCUCUCUGCAGCUCACACCUCUCUGCAGCUCACACCUCUCUGUAGCUCACACCUCUCUGUAGCUCACACCUCUUUGCAGCUCACACCUCUCUGCAGCUCACACCUCUCUGCAGCUCACACCUCUCUGUAGCUCACACCUCUCUGCAGCUCACACCUCUCUGCAGCUCACACCUCUCUGCAGCUCACACCUCUCUGCAGCUCACACCUCUCUGUAGCUCACACCUCUCUGCAGCUCACACCUCUCUGCAGCUCACACCUCUCUGCAGCUCACACCUCUCUGCAGCUCACACCUCUCUGUAGCUCACACCUCUCUGUAGCUCACACCUCUCUGUAGCUCACACCUCUCUGCAGCUCACACCUCUCUGCAGCUCACACCUCUCUGUAGCUCACACCUCUCUGUGGCUCUGCCGCUCUCCAGUCCAUUAGCUGCACAGAAGCUUCACAGAAGUGAACUGGUCUACCUUUUUCAUCCCUUACACUCUUCACAGCCUCUCCUGGCACUUAGAGGAGAAGCCUUCAGAUGCACCAAAGCCCCCAUAUGAUCCUUCAUUUCUAUCCCUACCUUAUUCUUCAUCAGGCUCUGAUAAACUCCCUUUUCUAGUCCUCAUUUGAAAAGCUCUGGACACUUUGGUUUUGAUUGUGUGACUCGUGUAUGAGGUAUGCUCUUGCGUGGGAGAGAUCCCCCCUCUUAGCUACAUCAUCUACUUGAGGCAAAUACCACUUUUUUGAAGAAGUCUGUUUAGUUUUUCUUGCUUUGUGAUUAUAUCCUACCGUGUGUUUGCUUGGGUAAUUAUUUAUUUAAAACCCAUCUUCUUAUUUUGAGCAUGGAGACCAUUAACAAAAUGGGGGAAAUAUCAAUAUUUUCAUGUUCUCUUCCUACCUUACAUAAGUACAGCUUGCUCCAGAAUGUUUGUUGACUGAUGCCCAGACUGACCCACUCCAGUAAUUUACCAGCUCUCUGUUCACCCUUUUAUUUCUAGGGCUAAUACUUUUGCUCCACUUCUGUCCCUCAGAGGAGACAAUUUUGUAAUUCUCUGACUUGGCCCUCCAUUGUCACACACCUUCCUCAGUGUUCUUUAUAAAUGUAGAGAAGGGACUGUAACGUGUAGGGUGUCAUCCAGUCAUUGGAGAAAGAAAUGGAACCAGGUGUUUCUCUGCCCGUCAGUUUAGCCUAAGGUGGUAGCAUUCUUUCUUAGCAUCUGUGGCUUACUUAUGGCUAUACAUUAACCGGGAUUAUACAUCUUUUUUUUUCUACCAUGAAAGUUCCCUGCUAGAAAAAGUGGCAUUUGAAGCUUUGCUUAGCCCCUUUGGUGGCUCUGUGGAAUGGAGUCUGAUCAUGUUUACAUGUUCCAGCUAUGCAUGUGGCUCUUGGCUGUGAGUGCUCACGCAUUACCUGUUUUGUGUCCUUUCCUGCUUCUUGCACACAUGUAUUACUUACUGUGUUUAAGUUCCUUGCAGAAAAGGAGAGUAAGGGAUCAAAAUUACAUUACACCGCCGCCGCUUUAUUCACACCGUGGAUGUUCUCAGGAUGCAGACUUAAAAUACGAGCUUAUCAAUAAGUUUAACAGCAUAUUAUCAAUAAGCUUAACAGCAUGCGUAGUCCAGCAUUUACCUCUUUCGUAGAGGAGGAUAGCUCAUGCAAGUAUAUGGCCAGCGGAUUUUGUUAUCUUACAUUUUGAAAUUAUAGCUACAUGUCAGUGAUUCCUGAAUCAUAUUAAAAUUAAUUAAAAAGUUAAAAAUGUCCGAUGUCUUGUAUUAGCUGUAUGUUAUAAAUUUCUGCUCUUUACGUUCAUAUAAAGAGGCAAAGAACAAUUUUAGGAAAUUGGCCCAGGAGGCAUUGAAGACAAAAUAGUACAUGUGUCAUACGCUGCUCUACAAUUCUCAAUCUAAGGAAUAAAAUGAAUGGAUGCCAUAAAAGCUCACGAUAAUUUGACUUAUGGUUGUUUUAGCCAAUAUAUAACCAUUCAUUACAAACGUUCACUGUUGUAGCUUCAUUCAGAAGUUAUUUAUUGAGCCCUGCUUCUGAGAUGGGCAUGGAGGACACAGGACCCUGAGAGAUACUUUGACCAUGCUCUCCUACCAGAAUCAACAGGGGAGAAGACAGGAAGAUGGGGGGAUUUUCUAUGAGAAAUUUGCAUGUUUCACAGUCGUUUGUAAAAAAUGCAUAGAUGUCUAUUAAGAGUAUGGCAUGAUGGUCUAGGACGGUGACGUCAUCGGCGACGUCAUCGGUGAAAUAGAGGAAGAGCUGAAUUUACUAAAGAAGGACACCCCUGUAAUCCAGUCUUAAACUCUUUCAAAGUGCUAUGCAACAGCACAACGUUGAUUGGAAUAAAACAAAUGUUACCGGCAAUGGAAGCGUAGAAGGAAAAAAUGGCUGAGAGGAAGAAAGCAACUGAAGAUAUUACCCACUGCAGAGGUGUUUUGAGUUAUUACUAAACCAUGAAAAAAAGCUAUGGAUACUAUGGGCACAGUAAAAAUCUUAGAGUAUUUACUCAUUUACAUGUGAGAAGAUGACCCGCUAGCCACGAUCCACGUAGACAACAGAGGACACCUUGUAUAAGUUGGAUCUCACCUGCCACUGUGGGGGUCUCUGGGAUCAGACUCAGGUCAUUGAAUUUAGCAGCAAACACCUUUACUUAAUGUGCCAUCCUACUGGCCCCGGACUUCUUUUGUAAAAAGUUCCUGUAAAAAUAGAAUUUUGUCACAGGCAUAUUAUUGUAUCUACUUCCAAAACUGCAAGGAGGGGCUGGGUUGCUUUGCUCUGCCACUGUGGUGUCUCUGUCACAGUUAUUUCUGCAUCUCAGGCUUACCAGAAGCUGAUGCAUGUACUGCACUAGUUAAGUCCUUCCUACAUACUAUCCCCAAUUUACAGGUGAGAUUGAAGGUUAGACUAUUAAAUAAGCUCUUCGAGAUUUGGAGACAGAGUCUGAAACGAAGCCUAUGUCUAUGGGUGCGGGAGUUGAGCUUUAAGUCCCUAAGGAUUGCCGAAAUAAGUUCCUGGUGUUUACCCAAAUGUUUACCUUGGCUUCAAAAGAAUUAAUUACAGGUAUGCCAGAUGUAGGGUUUACUCUGUUUAUAGACAGACAAAGGGGAAUGAUGUUAUGAAAUGCUACUUGCAAAUGUUGCUGUAAAAAGUGUAACAGUUGCUGUGAACGGGAUACAUGGAUUGGUACUGAUUAACAGUCAGCAAACUAACCUACACUCUUGUUAGCUAAUUGUAAGACACAUUUUCUUUAUCUGUUACAUUACUGAAUAUAUUCACAGCUAAAAACACGGAAAUUGAAAAACAAAACAUAGAAGAUAGUGACUUCAUUAAAUGUUCCCAGGUUCUUUAAAGGCGGAAAACGAGUUUUUUUUAUUUUAUUGUAAAUAUAAUAUUUCAUUUAUUCAAUAUAUGCAAUCAUUAGAGUUUGGAGAACUUAAUGGUGUAAAUGUCAAAAUAUGUUUCAAUUGGAUAUAUGUAUGUAUUUAUAAGAUUAUCAUUGAAUUUUUUCAUUAAAAUGUAUACCUCAUGGUAAUUUUUAUUUAUAUACAUAUACAAUCAUGCUAUGUUUAAUUAACACAUAAUGUUUUAAUACAUUUUCAGUUAAAUGCAUGUAACUGAAUAUGUAGGGAGACCCUUAAUUAUCUAGGCAGACCUCCUUACUUAUGAAUGGUAAUGUUUCCAAAAUUUUAAAUAUAGUUAUGUUAUUUUCAGAACAGCAUCUAUAAUUUACACACUUAAUUUGCAAUGCUGAAAUUCCAUCUUAACCUCUACUUAAGCUAACGUCAAGCAUCCUGUAUCGUAGAGUAUCUAGGGGUAAGCCUGAUUUCAUUGAAAAACAGAUGUUUUGGGCAGUUAUAUCUAUAGAACAAUGAUAGGUAUUAGCAAUUGGAAGUGUACGUCCCAGGAUAUUCAUGGUGCAUUAUGGGAUAUAGAAGAUCAAGUCUUAGAGCCAUAUGACACAAUGGUGUGGUGGCACAGCAGUGUGGUGACACAAAGGAGCUUUCUUGUCAUAACAUGGUGUCAGCAACAGAUUUCCUGAGCCAGGGAGGAAUAAGAACUGACUCCAUACAAAAUGGGAGAUGUUUCUUAGAGAUGGUGAGAGAAAUGAUGUAGAAAUCAAACAGAGAGUGAAGAAAUCUUGCUUGGAUGAUGUAGCUUUUCUCCAUAAACUAGUGAGGAGGACAAGGCUUUGGCCGGGGGGUGGGGGGGUGCGGUUCACUUUACAAUGUGUCCUAAACUAAUAUCCAUUAAGAAGUAAAAUCACUGCUAUUUAAGAACUAGGACUGUAGCAAAAAACAGCAUGGGUAUCACUGGGCACUGGGAUAAAACAUCGACCCUAGGUAGGAUUUCAGAAGGAUAAACUGGGCUAGAGAGAGAUAGCUCAGUGCUUAAGAGUGCACAAUACUCUUGCAGGAGACCCAGGCAUGGCACCUAGCACCCACAUCCACACAGCAGCUACCAAUUCCAAUUCCAGAUUCAGUUUCAGCAGAUCCAACCACUCCCCUGACCUCCGAAGACUCCUGUCCUCGCACAGUUCACAUAUCCACAUUCACAUGCACAUACAUAAGAUAUACAAAAACAUAUUUUAAAAGGGCAAAUUAUUUCCUCAGCAUUUACUUCUUAUAUUCUCUAAAUCGGGAUGUGGGCAAAAGUUAUACCAUUUCAUUUUGUUUGUUUACCUUCCUUCUAACUACCUGGGAGCUAGUGUUUGCAACUCAAGGACUGCUUAAUUUCAGGUAGGGUCUCUCUCUCUCUCUCUCUCUCUCUCUCUCUCUCUCUCUCUCUCUCUCUCUCUCUCCCUCCCGUAGAUAUAAAUCCAGAUGUGAAAUGCCUUGAUUUGUUUAUUAUGUUGAAUAAUCAUAAUAUUCUCACUUCCAUAUUUUCAGAAAUAUCAAAAUCAUAACCUUACCAGAAAACAAUACACAGCCUUUUGCAGAUCUGAAGCUGGGUCAGCCUCAGGAAGAGAUGGUAGUGAUCCCAGAGUUUCCUUAUAGGGACGUCUGUUUAGUGACUCUCAUUAUUCUCCACUUUAAAAAGGAGGACCAGCAAUGAAAAUGAUAACAUAUGACUGACUCACAAUACAAUAUAUCCGCCUUGAAUCAUUUUCUAAAUCCAAAGAUAUUUUUAGAUGAAAGCAAAGGCGGUCAUUUCCACAUCAUUUUGUGAAACUUAAGCCUACCCAGAGGAAAGGUAAUUUUGUUUGAUCCUGAACAUCAAGUGAAUUUGUUCACCAAACCAUUUAUUCCAAAAGGUAAUUAAAAUAAUGUAAAAUUGAUCCAGUCUAUGUUUAACAAAAUUAACUAAUUAUAAUCUGCUUAAACCACUUAACCUGUAUAGCUUCUUUAAAAAUCUUUGACUUUCUUUGGAAAAAUAAACAAUCUAUCCUUACAAAGGAAAUGCCUCUUUGUUUUUUGUUGGUCCUGAGAUGUGUUGGCCCCAAAGAGAACAGACAGAAAAACAAGAGGAGACACUGAGAUUGUUCCUGAAGCCAAAAGCACCCACAGCAAGGAAAAGGACAUGUUUAGAGGUGAGGUAACUGGUUUUGGACGCCUCAGUUCAGUGACUGCUACAGGAACAUUGACGUGGGCACGUAGGGACCCAUCGCAAAUGGCCCAAUACGAGCAAAAGGUGCAUCUGCCUUUCGGUAUUCACACUGACUGUGGACAACUCGGUGUUUGUUUGUGUUCCACCAAUUUGCACUUAUUCAAGUUAGCAUCAAACACACUUUUAAAAGUUCAACAAAUCAAAAGAGCUAAUUGCUUGCCGCUAGCUACGUUUAUUUUCAACCUAUGUGUCCUAAUCACAGAAACACGACGGAGAUGUCAAAAUUCCAAAGGGUUUAUAGGCACUGUGAGUGUCCCGAGAGCUAGGAAAUGGCUAUAAAAGAACAGAGAUUAUCUGUGACAACUCCGGGCUUUAAAACAGUGUGGAUGAGCUGGGAACCACCUCAGGGAGAAGUAACCUCAGGCCCCGUGUGGCUGGCCGAUCAGCUGCCACCUAUUAUUAAUUCAUUAUAACUUACCACUUUAUUUUGCAGAUAAAAUUGUCAUUUAUGUCAUUCCUAAAACCAAAUGACAUUAUAAAAGACACCCAGUGCUAAGAGAAUCAGCUGAAGUAUCUCUAUAUAGGCUAGGUUAAAAAAGGCGAGAGUCUGAUUUUUUUUUUUUUUUUUUUUGACAGAAAUCUCUUGGAAUGCUCUCACGCUGAGGCCAGUUUGUAGACUUGUGCCUCACACUUAUUCAACGAUAUCGAAUCACGUGAGCAUACUUCUACAGCUAAUCAGGAAUUUUUUUUCUAAUUGAAUUAUGACCUUUAAUCCACCUUCCUCUUGAUUAUGAAUGACGUUGACCUUUACCUAAUUUAAAGCAGACACUCUCAUGCAAAAUUAUGCAAACGACACAUGUAAAUUCUGAAUCACACUAAAGAUGAGCCUAAUGGACCGCUGAGAAAUGGUUUCAGAAGUGUUCAUCCUGGGGCCCAGUGAGGGCUGGGUGAGUGAGGGAAUUCUCCAGCCUGUGGAAAGCUGCAGAGACCUAGUGCUGUUUAUAUAUUUCCAGCUUCUAUUUAGAAAACUAGCAUGUCAAUCAAUACACACAUCAAUUUUGAUUAUUUUCCUCAGCGUUUUAUGGCAUUCAGGAAAUGAUCACCAUGUAAUGAAGUCAGAUGAAAUUAUUUUUUAGGAGAGUUGGUGCACUGUGCCUGAAUAUUCAAUUCAUUUCCAUUUCGGAUCAUCGUAGGCUACAUAGAGACCCCGUGAAAGUCAGCUAUGGCGCGUGGGGCGAGUUCACUUCCUGAUACUGUUUCAUCUCAUUAAAGAGGAACUUCAUGCCCAUAGCAGCUGGCAGCCAGCAGUGUUGCUCAGAUAUAUUUAGAAACUACUGUCUCAAGGAAAAAAGUUGAAAGAAGAAAAGAAGCAUAUUUGCAUCCAGAACAAGAUGAGCCCUAACUCUUUAUUCUCCUUUCUUGCCUUGCCUCUCCCUCUCCGUUGUCUUUAGAUCAAUAAAGAUGAUUAUGAGUGGACACCGCUUAAGGGGAGAGCAGUUUUGAGCAUGCACUUAUAGAGCAGACUCCUAUAAUCCAUGCUGCCCUUCUCCGGUCAUUCCAUUCUACUCCAAGCAGGUAUUACAAAUGAGAUACCACUGUUCAUCAAAUUAUCCUUAUUUUUCUUUAUGUACAAAAGCAUAAAAAUGUUGUAAAGCUUGAAACACAUGAUCCUUAGUCUGUGUCUUAUUUCAUGCUCAUUGGUGCACGCACACGCGCACACACACACACACACACACACACACACACAAACAGAGAUUAUGUCACAGUAGUAGGUGACUGAGGGCAUUUCGCUGUCAGAAUUCCUCCAAACAGUUCCUGGCAGAGAAGGAUCUGCUUUUGUGACUAACAUUGGGUGGCAGUGGUGGUGGCGGCAGAUUGCUCUAAGUAAAAUAAACAGAUUGACCCCGACAGAUAAUAGCAUUUUGCACUGCCAAAUACAUGUUUAUCUUUUGCUAUUGGCAUAAUGGCCCUGACAGUGCUCUUAAUGUAAUCUUUCUUAGGAAAUUAAACAGGUUUUAAUGAUAUGCUUAUAAUGGAUUGGGGACAGAGUUCUAGGGAGAGAAAUAUCGAUACUAGAUGUUUGGGGGAGAAUACAUACAUGAAGCAAUGUCGAGAGGAAUCAAUGAACAUCAGGAAGAAAUCAAUGGCAGUCUGUGUUUAAGGAACUCAUUAACAUAGUGCUCAGAGAGAUCGCCAAAAGCCCACAAAGCUAUGGGAGUUCUCGACAUUCACCGUGCCUCACACACAGAAUUCUUAGGAACAAGUCUACAUCUGCCUAAUUCAGAGUUCUCAGAAGUUGCCAGUCUGCCUUUCGAGCUUGGGUUCUGCAAACUCCCUGUAGUCUGGACAGAUGCUGUUUAUCAACUGGACUAAAAAAAUAAUCUGCAACCAGUGCUCUCUCCUGACGUGGCUGGGAACAGGGGUCAGCGUCUCUCCUGGCAUGGCUGGGAACAGGGGUCAGCGUCUCUCCUGGCAUGGCUGGGAACAGGGGUCAGUGCUCUCCUGGCAUGGGUAGGAACAGGGGUCAGCGUCUCUCCUGGCAUGGCUGGGAACAGGGGUCAGUGCUCUCCUGACGUGGCUGGGAACAGGGGCCAGUGCUCUCCUGGCAUGGGUAGGAACGGGGCCAGUGCUCUCCCCUAGUGUGUCUGGGAACAGGGGCGGGUGUUCUCCCCUGGCGUGGCUGGCAACAAGCAACCACUGCUCUUCUCUGGCAUGGCUGUGAACAGGGGCCAGUGCUCUUCUCUGGCCUGACUCGGAACAGGGAUGUACAUACUAAUUUCAGAGCCACAAAGUCCAGAGAAGUGAUUCAGCUGGCAGGAGCAUUGGCUGCUCUUCCAGAGAACGUAGAGAUGAUUCUUGGCACCCAUAUGGCAGCACACAGCCCUCUGUAACUCCAGGUUCAGGGAUCCACGGCUCUCUUCUGACCUCUAAGGGCACCAGGUACAUGUGUGCACACAUGAACUCAAAUAUAUAAAAUAAAAAUAACUGAAUUGAAAGAGCCAUAGACAUGAACUCAGACCGGUCCAGAGUCAUUAGGCCCAAUGAUGUUAAAUUGAGUCCAGAGAAGCCGAGUUAGGGGAAACUGUUAAUUUUAAUCAAAACGAUAACUGUGACAUCUAGCACCGGAAGAACCUUUUGCUCUUGGCUUCGGUGGGUGUGUCACACUGAGCUGAGGUCCAGAGAGUUUUAAAUCCAAAGGACUUGAGGCUCUUUAUUAGUAACAGAUUAGAAUCAGCCCUUCCUUGCUCCAUAAAGCUAUUUUCUAAGCUACAAAAUGAAACAUCGGAAUUGUUUUGUCUAUGAAUGGCAUAGAGCAAAGCAUGAAUAUAAUUUUUUUACAGAAAAAAAAUUGCGUGGGGAGUAAUCUCAGCAUAGGAUUAGGCCGACAGCAGCUGCUUUCAUUCCCUGCCAUAAAGCAGAGAGGUGGAUAUCGUGAAAAUUUAUCGUCCAGAUGAGGAAACAGGUCUGGCGAGAUGAGAUGGCGCCCCAUCGGAAUUUUAGCAUGUCCGAUGAAAUGGCACCCCUGAUGGGAUUCUAGCAGGUCCCUGUCGGUAGUCAGCCAGCUGCUUUGUGCUUCCCUUGAAAAAUCCAUUCCUGUGAUUUAAAAUGCCUAUUUUUCCCCCUCUCUUUUCUUAGUCAAGGAUGUGAAACUUUAAACUAUGGCCACACACCCCUCUCGUUAAUUAGAAAGAUGCUCACAGAGUCACCUGCAGUCCUUGCUCCAUCCCUGCCUGAAUCCACUAAAAUCCCAGUAGCCAGGUUGCAAUGCUUUUUUUUUUUUCCUCUCACAAGCUAAUCAAAAGGAUUUCAUGAUAGUGUUUUUCAUCCCUGUGACUGAAGGAGGAAAAAUGAAUCCAUGUGGAGCGCCUGAGCUUUGCUAUCCAGCCAUACUGAGUCCCCUUCGCUCAGUGUCUUUACCCACCCAGAGUCUUGGAAAACACCACGAGAUUUUUGAUUCCUCUCCGUCUUGGUCCCCAGAAGGAGUUAGGAAACCCUUCUACUAUCUGGGUACCGUUGCUGUUUGUCCCACUCUCUGCUGUGGGUUGUUCCUUUCUAGGUAUCACCUUGAGGCCAUAUCUUAUUGCAGGUAUCCAGCAUUUUCCCAGGAGCAUGCACGCAGCAAAAGCUUUGUAUUACGGUGCACCCGAGCCCAUGGCUUCCACUCUCUUCCUCUCCACCUGCCCAGUUGAUGUCCGCGAAUUCCUUUUUCGAACUUGGCUCAUGGUCACAAAUGCUCUCUGUGGACUUUGUUACAGGAUUUCUAAUUCCAUCCAUCUACAGCAGAGUAUCCUCCUACCCUAGUGCUUUCCCUGGCCUUGUCUCCUCUCAGGACCAAAGCUUCGGGACAAAGAGUAUGCUGUGUUUAAGAUUAAUUACUAUUGGCACGUCACUGAAAGUUAUGAAGAUUUGAUAGUACAAGUUAACAAGCUGGAAAUGGUGGUUAAUAAGAAACACCUCGGUCGGGAUCCUUUAAUAUCAGCUAACCUUUUCCCCAUUUCAGAGAACGCUGCUCUCCUCAACCUUGUACUAGUUUCCAUGUUUCUGUGAUUUUUGUUGCCUUUUCAUUUUCUCAUUCUUUCCACUCAAUUCUUACAGCAGUUGUGUCUCUGUUUCAUGUCACAAUGAGAAACUCAUUUGUAUGAAACACAUUUAACCUUUGUAUUCAGUGGGCUUAGUUCUUCCCUCACACUUUUUUUUUUUUAAGUUGAGCACACGUACACUAUUAUAUUUUUGGGAGAGCACAGCUCCAGUGGUGGAGCAUAGAAAUAUUUUUUGACAAAUAUAAUUUACAAAAUUGAAAUAAUUUGUAAAGAGAACUGGAUCUCUUAUUGCCCCUGAAACAAAAUUGGAGUAUAUAAAUUGGUCUCGCCACAUUAAAAAGUAAGCCCGUGAAUUGUCUACACGUUAAUUAAACACAGACACUCGGCUUAGCAUAGGGUCCAGAUCUGUGAAAAAUGCAAUCUGAUUUUCAUCCUGAAUUAAUUUAAGCUGCAGCAAUUGAGGAAUUAUUAUCAUCAUUAUUUUUACAAACCCUACAAAAUCAAAGGCUGAGAUAUGCGGGAGGAACUUCAGUCACUGUGAACAUGGAGGCAGCUGUGGAAGGGAGGGCUCUUUAACUUUGCUGGGAGAAGAUUGAUAGGAGCCACACAAUCACAACACCACCACCAACCACAGCAACAACAAGAAAGACGCGGCGCUGGCUGAAUGUGAUUGCAAAUUUUGGGCUCUUCUUUGCAAAACAGUUGAUCUUAUGAGCUAGUGAAGUUUAAUUUUAAGCUCCCAUGUAAUGACAACUGUCACUCUGAACUGACUGCUAAUACAUUUGAGAAUUAAGUUGUCUGAAUAUUUUUUUUCAAACUUCCCUGGAGAGGAAUGUCUUUUCGUUUUAUUUUCAAUUUCAAGGAGCUGACAUUAUUUUUAGGCAAAAGAAUUCAGUGACUGGACUUAUGAGUUGAGCAGGGAGGGAUAGCUCCUUUUAGUGGCUUGAGGUCAGCUGUGACACCUUGAACUAAAUGUAUCUUCCUCUGGCCUCUUUCUCUUUGCCUUUCAUGGUGGAAAUACAACUCCAGUAAUUUGACUUGAGAAAUCAAAUCUGAGUGGAGUGCCUUAUAGGCUACUGAACUCACUCAGCAGAGAAGAUGGUAGGAUAAGCUCAAAUUUAAAUUGAUUCCCAGAUUUUCCCACUCCAAUGGCUGACAUCUAACUUGGCUAAUCCAUAUGAAACUGGUCUAUUAAACUAGCUGUAAAGACAAAUUCUUGGGCUUUCCUCCUGCCAGCAGGUAGAGAAUUUGGACUUAGAAGAGCAGCCCAUCUGUCGGAUAUUUUAAGUAUGAUUUAAAAAAAUACUAGUGUCACACAAUGAUGGCAAAAUUUUUUCUUUUGUUCCCCAAUAAAUAUGUAUCUUAUACGAUCACUACUGUCCAAUGGCCUCUACAUCUUUUUUUACUAGAUUUUAUAUGGAUCCUGUGCCAGUGCUUGUUUAUAUUGUAUAACCACAGGUCAAUGAUCAGUGUUUGAAUCAGAUUCCCAUGGGUGACCUGUGUAAUAGUUCAUCUUUUCACACUGGGAUGAAAGACAAUAGAGGAAGUUUGAAGCUACCACAAACAGGCAGACAGAAGGAAGGCUGCUCUCACUUCUCUGUAAGGAGGGAGUCUUUUCUUUGCCUCACAAAGUGGGCAACACCUAUGACAUAAAAACAGUUAACUGUGCUGAGUGGCACACAGUCAGCAUAUUUAAAUAUUCCCUAUCAUGCUAUCUGUCAUCUACUCCUGCUUUGUAAAUGGGUUGGUGAUAUUUUGUCUGGGGAAAUUUCCAUACAGAUGUUCCUAGUGAAUAGAACGGCAGAAGAAAGGGCUAUUUCAGACUGCAUUUGAAGGAUGGUUCCACAAGACGGUAGAAUAUACUUUUCUUAUGUGAACUGUUGUUUGGCUCAACAUGUUAAUUGUUAUCAGAACUUCUCUGGAGUUACUAGGAAUGGUAGUUAGAUAAAGCCCCGGGUUAAUUUCCAUCAAUACCAAGCUCCUUACACCGUUGAUAUUUCAAACAUAUAAAAAGCUGUCAAUCUUGGUCAGACAGAAUAAAGGAGGUGGUUGUUGUAAGACUGAGCAGACAUGCCAGUCAAUUACAGAUGUGAUUCUGUGUUCUACUCUACUAGAGUAACCAUUCCUGGCAUGCCACCAGUGAAAUAACUCUUUAAGACUGCUAUAAUGCUAAUACAGAUCAAAAGGAAAAGCGAUGAAGAAGUUGAAAAACCAGAAAAAGACACCUAGUUCUGGUAUGUCCAGACAACAGAUGGGUAAGUUGGAUAAGAUAUGUUUGCUAUAGGGAGAGGGAAAGAAGUACACUGACCGAUAAGCCAGGAAGUCAUCGUUAUAUGUGAUUUCAAAGGAAAGGCAGGUUCAAAUCCCAUGUCUGCACAACUCCAUGGCCUUGACAAAGUCAAUUAACUUCUCGGAACCUUCAUGGUUUUAUCUACAAAGUGUGUACAAUGGUCCCCUUGACCUGACAGCAUUGCUAUGAAGAUUAAAAUUAUUGCAAACAAAGCAAUAAGGAUCUGAUAAGUGUCCCCUGGAUACCAUAACCAAUCCACACUCCAAUAACAGUUCCAGGGUCUGGGAACUGUUUAGUGUGGCAGAAAGUCUUCCUGAGAAGCUCUGGGUGUGUGCAGAUGUAGCAGCAUCGGAUGCUCUCUGAUGGUGCAGAUCAUUUCUCCUCAGGCAGGGUUGCACAUUGCCAUGACUCCCACUGAACACUCCCAAAGUUCUGGACAACUUAUUAACACCCCCUAUAGUAUCCUUUUAAGAUGGAAAUUUAUCUUUUAAACUGCAUUCGGUAAAACCAGCAGAAGGGACUCAGGGGGGAAUAACAAACCACUAUUAAAUACAGCCGUGAGGGUUCUCGGUGCUCAACAUUUUGCUGCAAGGCACACUGAAACGGAGUGGAUGUAACUUAUCCUGAGCAGUUGCUUGAAUGAGUUAGUGGAGGAAUGGGAAGUGUACAGAUGAAGCAGAGGAACCCAGGGGGAGUUGAAGGCUGUGACCAUUUUAUUUAGGAUGCACAGUAAGACCUGACUAAAGGCAUAGGAGGUCGGUCUUUGGAGACUUUCUUGAGGUUAGCAAACAAACGCAAGCAUCUAUAAAAAUCCCUGCUUUUGAAAUAGCCCUGUGAAAUGAUGGCUUGGGAUUCCGGGGGGGAAUGCCUACAAACCUAUCAAAUCCAUGUAAUGUGAAUGCAAAGAGAAUGUCUAGUUGGCGGCAUUUUCUCAGGUCCCCAGAAGAGUGCCUUGCCUAGUUUCUCUGUCUCUCCUUAGCUUGCCUGCUGACAGAGUAUCUGUGGUUUCCUUUGUUCUGAAAGGGCACCCUUUAGUUCACAGUAGUCUGAAGUUCGCCCAGCCAGGCUAUCCUGUACACUCUCUAUCUGUCUGAGUCUCCCUGUGGGGUUUGGGGCAAUGAGUGGGACUCCCAUCCAAAUCCCUUUGGCUGUAGGAGAGUCUCCCUUGACCAUAAUCCUUUUCCCCCUGUAGUACUGAGGCUCAUAUGAAAAACUACAAUGACAAUGACUGCGCAGGACAUAUUCAAGAGCAGCCCCAUGGCUCCCACAGAUACUUUCAAUCAGCCUUUCCUGGCAAGCCUCAGCUUACUGUACAGCUCAGUAAAAGAGUUUGAAAAGAAACUCUAAUUGCUAGGUAAGCCAUAAGUCAAAUUCCUCUUUUCUCACCGUGAAGGGUUUUUAUUACCCACGGCUGUAAAUGCCAGCCCCCAUCCUUGCAGAAUAGCUUUCAGACCAGAGGACAAAUAAAAUGCUAAGAGGCAAAAGAUAUGUAUCUGUUAAAUUCUACAUAUAGCACCCUAACAAAUGCCGGAGGCAGAGAGCUAGCCCUCUGUACAGUAGCAACACUUGUGCCGAUGGGCUUCUUUAUGCUAGCAAUGACAGAGUUCCAUGCCCUGCACUACUGGACUCAAAAUUCAGAGUGCAAUCUUUUCAGCACAGCAUUCAGUACCAAAAGGAAAAAGGAAACACACAGUUCUGACACUGAGAUAUUUUAUGUGGAUAAUAAAUCCACCCCCCCAAACUCUACUAACUACAAGUAUCUACCUAGAAGAUAGAGUCUGAAAUUUAUGACAUCAGAAUGAUUGGGUAUACCAGAAAACAUUUUUUCCCCUUCUUUUCAGGACUGUCAACUUUGUUUACUGUUUAUGUUCAAUUCUAUCUCCUACAAGGGAUUAAAUAUCCUUGUCAGAGCCAUAUGUCAAAAUGCAAAAUCAUAUUAACAAAGAGUAUGUUCAAAGACAGAUGACAUUUAUCUCCGUUGCAACUGGAAUGUUCUAAUUAUAUUUGUACUAAUUCAAAAGAUUUUUUUGAAUUUGUAAUUUCAUGACAUUUUGAUGUGAUUUAAAGUUAAAAUGACUAUGGAAUGAUUAAAAUAUUAUUACAAGUCACUUCAAGGAAACACAGUUGAAGUAUUACAAGCUAAGGGAUUGCUUUCAGAAAUAAGACGUAUAUUGUACAAUCUAUUAACCACUUCCACACAUUUUUAAACCGAAUAUAACCAUUUGACUAUUGAAAUCAUUCUUAAAUAACGAUCUCCACUGUGCUAUAUACAUGGCAGGGUUUAAAGAGCCCCUUUACAGUAAAGUUUUCUAAAAUACGAUUUAAAUUUAAAAACAAUACCUACCAGCACGUCUAACAACAGUAACGGAAUCCAACUAAUUGCAACACUUCUGCAUAGCCUAGUAAUUUGUGAAUUGUGCAGAAUAAAUCUAUUUGACAGGCCAGUUAGCAAUAGAGCCUCUAGCAUGCUGCCAUGCCGCAGAAUGAAGUAAGAGCUACCGUUUUCUCGCUGAUGUCAAAAACAUUUCAACAGUUAAAUUUUUUUUUUCUUUUCCAGAGAAAAUGCUGCAAGAAGGUUCCAGGUUCAGGCAAACAAUACACAGCCACCUUCUCACGGUUGAAUUUUACACUUGGCUGUAAUUGGCAGAAGUUAAACCAUCUAAAGAGGUUAUUAUUUUUUUAAGAGGGAAAACUUGAUAGCCAAUUGUAUUUCUAGGUUAGAGAGUAGACACUCUAAUCUUCCUUGCUUGGUAAAACUGAAGCUGGCUAUGUGGAAAAUAAACAUCCAAAUACCCCCGCACUUAAACAAUUGCACCUACACCGUUAAGUAACAAAAGCCAGAGACACCUGGAAUCACAGCAUUUGCGCCCUGUGCCAGCAACAAUGUAACGCAUUCCAGUGACAUUUGACAAUGAGCAGACAGAAGAGGCAUUACACGCGUCUUUAGAAGAAUCAGGCUUCCUACCUUCAAGAGACAGAUGGAGGAGGCUCCAGAACUCUGAGGGAAAUCGUAAUGAGGGGAGAGCAGACACACCAACAACAGCAUUUUAAUAGGCAGAUUCUGUCUGAUACACUCAUCUGGAGACUUGUGGUCCAGUGACCAAGCCUGGUCAUCCAUCCAUCAGACCAGUGGAGACUGAGCUCAGAGUCUUUACCAGCUCCAGAAUCAAGACUCCGGAAUUACUGUAAUUCUGCCAUUUCCUCAUUGAGUGGCCCCUGGAUGCGGCUGAUAUUUCUUUAAAUAGAGCAAGUUCAUGAACCAAUUUCAGCGCCCUUGAAAACAGCUGUUUAUGUGCCCAGCCCCAUGCAGGGCCUGUGUGGAUCGAACCCUGGUGUCUUGAUUGAUUACUUCAGCUUUGGAGCUCCCUAUCGGAUCACUGAUCUGGAUGCCACGCAGUGCUCAGUACCAUGGGAGUCUGACAGAUGGGAGUGAUAGUCCCAGCAGCUCAGGGCGAUCUGCAUGGAUGCUAUGAGGCUUUCCUUGUGUUGCUGAUGUGAUUUGGUGAUACAAGGAAUAUUCAGAGGAUAGCAUGUCUUAACCUGACAGCCCAGAAGAGUUUUUUCAGGAUCUAAAAGGAGAGCUGCACAGUGCUCCUGUCAGAAACUGGGUGGGAAACUCACUGAUCAAGAAAGACAAGAACGGGCUGACUCUACAACCACAUCCCAAGACUCAAGCAGUCAAUGGAGAAUAGGCAAACCUCAUUUUAAAAGUGUUUCUUUGAGCUACUCAAAAAAAAAAAAAAAAAAAAAAAAAAAACCAACAAAAAAAAAAACCAAAAAAACAAAACAACAACAACAAAAAACCAAAAACCAAAACCCAAAAAACAAAAAAACCUUUAAGCACAUGCAUGCACACACACAGAGGCACACACACAGAGGCACACACACAGAGGCACACACACACACACACACACACACACACACACACAAAUAUCUAAAUAAAUGCAAAAGAAGAAGAAAUGGCAUUGAAGGAAUAUGGGGGUUGGCUGAGAAAGCUAUUUACAUAUUAAAUUCCGUGGAAAGAAGAUACACUGUAUUCAGGCUUUGACUUUAGUAACUCUCAGGAGUUAAAGAAAAAGAAAAAGAAAAACACCUGUAAACUGGAGCUCAUAAUUUUCUGGAUAACAAGGAAGUGAAGAGCGGCUUGUGCAUACAUUUCCCCACUCACUCUCCACAUCUUGAAGAGGAAAGUACUUUUCAGUAUUUAUAGAAAUACAAUUUAAAUUGCUUUUUCAUUAUGACACCCUCAAGGCAAAAUUAUUUUAUUGGAAAAUUGAUUUGCUAUCAAAUAAAAUGAAGAUAAGAGCUUAAAAGAGCUAAAGUUAUCAUGUGACAACUGCUUGCCUCGAAGACAUUACCAGAUAUUCAUAUGUGUGUACACAUGAAUUCUCAUGCAUAUAACAUGUGCAUAUAUAUUUUAAAUUUUCUGGUGUUUAUUGUUCUCAAGAGUGGAUUUUUGUAGCCAUGGGGAAAAUGUUAAGUUGACAACUUUCAGACAGCCUGUCUCCUAUACACAUAGAAAUUACAUAAAUUGUUAUGGUGAUCAAAACCAGUUGUCAAAAAAAAUUUUUAUAAAAUACUUCCUUCCCCCUCUUAAAAACGGUCUAAUUUUCUCCUCUCUCUUUCAGCCCUUUAUCUUCUCCAGUGUCCCACCCUGCAAUAUGUGUGAAAUGUUAUCAAAAGCUUUCUGAUAUUACCAUAAAUUACUGUGUAAGCAGAGCUACUGCUUAUCUGUCAAGGGGCUUUUUUCUUUUUCUUUAGCAAUUUUCUCCAUUUUUAUAUGUGUGAAAGGUUUUUUUUUUCUUCCUGCAAUUUUUUUUUUAAACCAUGGACUGUACCUAAAAGGCUUUGACUUUCAUUGGGGCAAUACUGUAGAUUUCUGUUCAUAAAAUAAUCUUGUGACACCAUAAAGGGACAAGAAAGACAUUUUUCCCUAUUGUUUCUCUUCAACAAGAAUUUUGCAGACAGUAAUUUCUCUAUAGUGGGACACAUUCCCAAUAGAGAAGAUGCAUUAUUGCAUUUAGUAUAUAUUUUACUCUUUUGAGUUUCAUUUUUGAUUGCAUAUUUUGCAUGCAGCCAGUCUGUGAUUUUUUUUGUUAUUUAUUUUAAAAUCUAUUGUCAUUAUGUCUCAUCCACGCUACAUAGUUAAGUAUAGCUCUUUUGAUAAGAAUUACUUCACAGGGCUCUAUUGUACCUGGAUAGUCAUAAUUUUUGACAACCAUGCAAUUAUCUUUUCUAUUGUGAGCUUUCUUAAAAAUAUCCAGGGUUAAUUGGAUAGAGCUUCUGUUUUGGAAAGAAGAGGGAAGAUACUCUAUUCUGGGUCCUGUACCCUGAGAAAGCUUGACUAUCAGGGCUCUGCUGAUGCUGCCCCAGGCUGAGACGGACUGAAGUUUCUAUUUCAGACAGCACAGGAAAGGAGUCCCAUAAGAGACCCAGACUUCAGAAAUGAUUGUCAGGAAUGAUGACAGAAUAUCUGGAAACCAAAGAAGAAAACUGUGAAGUUCCCCAACCCCAAGUUAAAAAAAAUAAACCACCAGUGGCUCUUCAGUGGCUUGGAAUUUUCUGUUCGCACUCAAUGAUUUAGCCUGAUACAUCUCUAUUUGUACCUAAAUGCCACUUCAGGUGUAUUUUUCAAUUGUUGAAAUAUUAGACAUUCAGUGCUCUCUUAUACAGUACAUGUAUGUUAGCAUCUCAAGAAAAUUAAACCACAAAAUAGACAGGCAGUCACUCUGAUUUUAUCCAUAUUGAUAUUUAGGCAACAGUGUUAAAGACACUCAUGUUAACCCCAAAGACUAUGCAGGUCAACUGUAUCAAGAGGUUUUCCAAAGCAACAACAACAACAACAACAACAACAACAACAACAACAGGACAACCAAUAAAACAUUUAAGCUGAUAAGCUUCAUUCCUGAAAGGUGAGUUUGUUGUUGUUAGUUCUUCUCAGCCCAGCUACAAAGUAGAAAGACAUCUAAUCUCUGACCACAGGCACAACCUCCUGGGAAUAAGUUAAGAGCAAAUACGUUUCUUUUGCUCGCCUUGAACAGGUAUUGUCUGUAGAUAGCACAGUGAGCAGCAUUGAGCACUGUGCAGCUUCUGCCUGCGAUGACCUACCCCACCUUCUGUUCCUGCAGCUUCUAAUGGUAACCAUGUGAGCUGGGGCAAUGAACAUGCUUUGGAUGGUCCAGCUCCUCCAUUUUCAACUUUAAAUUAAGAGGAAAGACUAUGUAAAACUACCUUUAUGAGUCUGACAAAACAUAUUGACCUAUUCCUCUAGUACCUAGUUAGUAAUUCAAUAUAUGUAUAUAUUUAAAUGAAUAGAUUUUUUCCCCAGCAGUUUUAAGCUUAGGGAUAAUUUUCUCAGAAAGUAUGGAGUUCAUAUUAUGCAGCCCCAGGCUAAUAUAGUUUGCACUUUUGGUAACAUCUUUCAUUAGUGUAGCCCAUCUGUUAAACUGAUAAAGCGGUAUGCAUGUAUUACUAUUAACUUAAGAGCAUAGUUUACAGUGAGCAUUUUAUUAAACAUUGUAUAGUUCUGAGUUUUCAUAAUGUCAUGCAUAUCAAGCAGAAUGAUUUUACUUUUCUAACAAUUAUCUACCCUUAAGUCUGAAACUGGAGCUCUACUGAUGUGAGUUUCCCUACAAAAUUGCUUGUAGGAAGCAAAGACAGAAGCAGUCAGACCAGGUAAGAAAACUGUGCAAUCAUUUAGGUGAAAUGUAAAACUGUGUGGGCCAGAGUGAAGGCACUGAGUAGUAGAUAUGAAACAUUUGUAGCAUUUCCUGAUAAAAAAUAUGCUAUUAUUUUUAUCAUUAAUAUAAAUUAUUCUUAUUUCCUAUUAGCACAUAAUGAUGAUGUCAUAUUUUUGUCUUAACUAUUUCAACCAUUUUCAGUAAAUUACGAGGCCUGUAGUUAUGGUUCUUGAAAAUCUAGCCUUUUCUAGUUAGAAAAGUUGGAAAAGUGUUACUGUGAGUAGAUUUAUCUAUUGCUGGGAUAUAUCUUUUAAAUGGUUUCCUCCUAUAGAGAUAUAUUUAGCUCACUUAAAAUAUAAUUCAAUUCCAAUUUGCCAUUUUUCUUGCCAGUAAGUCAAAGUGUCAUAGGAAAUAAAGGCAGAGACUCAAUAAAGUCCUAGGCUCUUAAAACAUUUUCUUUUCUUCCCUCAGAGCAGCAAAAUUGAGGGGAGGAGUGUGGCUACAGUGAAUGGGUGUCACUGAGAGUCAUGAAUAGGGAGCACUUUGGUUGGAGAUUCAGAGCUCUGGAGUGUGACUGCGGAGGGAAGCAUGCAUGAAGAUCACUUUGGCUUUUGAAAUGUUAAGUUCCACCCAGUUGCUUUCAGAAUGUAGCUGUGGAUAUUUGAUAUCAUCAUAUUUCUAGCCUGUAAUAUCCCUUAAGCUAUGAAUCCCAGUUUACCAGUAUUUGAAUACAAACCAUUCUUUACCAGUUGCUGAAAUGAGUGGCUAAUUAAUUUCUUUCCUUUAACUUUCAAAUUGCUUAAGCCUUGGAAUUAUUACCAAUUGAAUUUAUUUUCCAGGAAGAACUGGUCAAGAAGAGUCAGAUAGCUGGCUCAAUGGGUUAAAAGUUCUUCCCACACAAUCCUGAAGACUUGAGUUGAGUACACCGGAUCCACAAAAAUACAGUAGUCGUGUUUCACAACUGUAACCCCAAAACUUCUAUUGGGCAGUAGAAGGUAGGGACAGGAAAAUCACCCUGAUGCUCACACUCCAGCCAAGGGGUAGAAACAAGAUGGAUCUUGCCUCAACAGUGAAAAGGGAAGUUUACUGCUCACAAUGAAAGGGUCACCAUCCAUUGCACAGGGAAAGAGCCGGAAACAGAAGAUGCACACCUCAUUUUUGGGGAAGCCGAGGACUGAAGGCAUCUGCUGGGUUCACUUUUUAGAGUCUCAGAACCAUGGAAUGGUGCUGUCCUCAGGCUGGGUGGCUCUUCUUACCUCAGUGAAUCUAAUCUAGACAGUCCCUCACAGAAAUGCCUGGAGAUGUGUCUCCAUGGUGACCCUGAGUUCCAUCAAAAUGAAAAUCUGGAGGAAACAUCGAAGGAGCUGUGUCCCCAGUCCUGCAAUGACAGUUUAACCUCACUUUGUUAACUAGCUAUUUACGUGCUAUGAAGGGACCUAACUUUGUAGUCUCAUUUUUUCCCAUCUGUAAAGUACUUUGCAUUUCUAUGUUAUUUUGGGGAACUUAGUAAUAAGGUAAAAAUAAAUCAUAGAGCAUUUGACUCUAUAACAGGUCAGGCAUUAUUGUUUGUAUUCUGAGAGGGUGUCUCAUGUGGUCCAGGUUGGCCUCCAAUGACUGGUCCUUCUAUUGCAAUUCCUGAAUGGAGGGGUAACAGAUGUUUACCACUAUGUCCUUGCUUGGGUCCCAUAUUGUUGAAAGAGCUUUGCAAGCUUAUCAACAUGGGGAUGAAACUGUUAAUAUCAGCCAGUGCUUAUGCCAUGCAGGUUAAAACAAUAAACGACUUAAAAGCCUACUUGACCAGUGACAAUAGAAUAAUUUUAGAGAGACUAAAGGGUCAGAACUUGCCAUAGAGGGAAGCAAAGGAGGCUGAAGAAGGAAUAUAAUAUACAAAAACACUGAAAAAUCGCCUCUAAUUGCAUAUGAUAAGAACAACUUCAGAGAACUCCUUUGUGGGACUGGAUGUAUUGUGGCCAAAAAUGAAACUGCACAGAGAAUAUUUUUAAGUGGAAUAAUAGUCCAUUUAUUAACUCUAUAAUCCAUGGCUAGGGAUAAAUGAAUCUGUUACCCUGUUUCCCCCUCUCUGAUUCUGCAGUUUUUCCUUAGCUUACCUACCGUUUACAUUUUUGCUUUGAGACAGUGCUUAUGAAAUUACCCAGGGAUAUGUACUCUUGGUUAGCUUGAACAUGGAGUUCUACUGCCUCUGCCUCCUGAGUAUCCCUGAUUAUCAUCGGCCACCCUAGCCUCAGUAUGUCUCUCUCUGUUACUGUAUCCUAAUCAGAUACUGACUCAAAUAGUUAUUUUCUAUUUAAUGGAAAUGUACUUUCUAUUCAAUCAAGAAGACAAUUACUAUUUAUUUUAAAACCCUGUUUAUUCAUCUAUUUGUGUGUGUACCUGUGUGUGUGCUUGUGUGUGUAUGCAU